AGAACAGAUGUAAUUUUCAGCAUCAUGCCUGUCUGCUUGCUGCCACACUCCUCAUGAUGACUAUCAUGAAUUCACCCUCAGAAACUCUAAGGCCCACUAAACUCUUUUCUUCUGUAUGAAUACAGAGGCUGAGCAUGUUCUAUUUGAAAGUACACAGACCUAGGCAAAUGAUGAACAAGAAGAGCAUGACUAGUGGAUAUAGAAGGGAAUCUGUACUCAAGUUAUUUUUUAAAAAGAAAGACAAAGCCCUACUAUUAAAAACGCCAGUUUUCAUAACUUCUACUGCCUAAGUUUCACUAUUUCUCAGGAAAGAAUGGAAGAUAAUAUGAGAUUUUAAUGAGCUAUUUCCAGAGUCACUAAGGGAAAACAAGACCACCACAGAAAUGCACACCUGGAGGAGAAGGCCUUUCUCCUAAUAUGCCUGAGCCUCACCUGAUGUCCAUGGAUGAUCCUGGAUCUCAAGGAGUCAUGUGGUUUUCCUAAGGUAACCAAGGAAACUGAUAUCAUUCUACACUGACUGUUGGAGUGGAAGAAGUGGCAGCUGAACAAUGCCUGCAGUUGAGUUUUCAACCCUUGUAGAUCUGAAUAGAUCCUCUAAAUCCUAAUCCAGAUAAUAUAAAAGUCAAUAAUGAAACAAGUUUCUUUUGCACCUA